CCUGUCCUACGGGGGGCAGCAGUGGGGGAUAUUGCACAAUGGGGGGAACCCUGAUGCAGCGACGCCGCGUGGGCGAUGGAGCGCCUCGGCGCGUAAAGCCCUAUCAGCAGGGAAGAAGAUGACGGUACCUGACUAAGAAGCCCCGGCUAACUACGUGCCAGCAGCCGCGGUAAUACGUAGGGGGCAAGCGUUAUCCGGAUUUACUGGGUGUAAAGGGAGCGUAGACGGCAAUGCAAGUCUGGAGUGAAAGGCGGGGGCCCAACCCCCGGACUGCUCUGGAAACUGUAUAGCUGGAGGGCAGGAGA
rnacentral:rRNA from 1 species